UUCGGGAGACAGGGAGACAGGUGGUGCAUGGUUGUCGUCAGCUCGUGUCGUGAGAUGUUGGGUUAAGUCCCGCAACGAGCGCAACCCCUACAUUUAGUUGCUAACAGGUGAAGCUGAGCACUCUAGACGAACUGCCGUUGACAAACGGAGGAAGGUGGGAUGACGUCAAAUCAUCAUGCCCUUAUGUUCUGGGCUACACACGUGCUACAAUGGCCGGUACAGACGGAGGCGAAGCCGCGAGGCGGAGCAAAUCCGAAAAAGCCGGUCUCAGUUCGGAUUGCAGGCUGCAAUUCGCCUGCAUGAAGUCGGAAUCGCUAGUAAUCGCAGGUCAGCAUACUGCGGUGAAUACGUUCCCGGGCCUU
rnacentral:rRNA from 1 species